CCAAAGGCUCUUUUCAGAGCCACCCACAGUUUCUGUAAAAGCAGCU
rfam:Mus musculus chromosome 13, GRC primary reference assembly.